rnacentral:rRNA from 1 species
GACGAACGCUGGCGGCGUGCUUAACACAUGCAAGUCGAGCGGUAAGGCCCUUUCGGGGGUACACGAGCGGCGAACGGGUGAGUAACACGUGGGUGACCUGCCCUCAGCUCUGGGAUAAGCCUGGGAAACCGGGUCUAAUACUGGAUAUGACUCCAUGACGCAUGUUGUGGGGUGGAAAGCCUUGUGCGGCUGAGGAUGGGCCCGCGGCCUAUCAGCUUGUUGGUGGGGUGANGGCCUACCAAGGCGACGACGGGUAGCCGGCCUGAGAGGGCGACCGGCCACACUGGGACUGAGACACGGCCCAGACUCCUACGGGAGGCAGCAGUGGGGAAUCUUGCGCAAUGGGCGAAAGCCUGACGCAGCGACGACCGCGUGAGGGAUGACGGCCU